rnacentral:lncRNA from 1 species
GGGAUUUUCAAAGUUUCACAUAAAUAUUUUGAUUCAUUUUGGGAAACGAAUUGGGAUCAUGAGAUUGCUUAAGUUUAUUUUGCUUUCUUAAAAUUUGUUUUUAUUUUUGUAUGUUCUUGUUUCAUUCUCAUGGGACCUCCAAUUGUCUUUCCACUGUGUCUAGUCUUAUAAGGAAUACAAAAAUAUUGCCAGUUAAGGUAAUUACUCUGUUGUUUACAUGAGACAAUAAAUGGAUGAAACAAUUUACAUGAGAAUAUGAAGUAGAGAACUGAAGAUUCUUUGAGCUAACUUUGUUCUUUAACCUUGGGAUCCUCUGGAUGAGAGUUUUGGUGUCUUUGAUUAAUCACUUGUCCAAUUACCUCUGUUAUUCACUCCAAAUUUAUUGCUUCUGUGGGCAGUUUCUUCAAAUUCUUGGACCACACCCUCAAAAACAUUCUACUUCAUCCCAUCUACUCCUUUUAGGGAGUAUGCCUCACAAGUUGAUAAUCUUCUUGGUUGGUAAAGAGAGAAAGAAUAUGAAAUCAAGAUGAAUCCAGGAAAUUUUUUCAAGCUUUAUUUCUUUUUGGUUGUAUUAAGGAAAGAAAAGAAAUCCUUUUCGGAUGGACACAUAUUGGGGUCCCUAUCAUUUCCUGGAGUCUGGCACAUAUAAAGUUUAAGGUUAGAAAGAUAUUUUUAAACAAUUCCUCAGGUUAGGGAAAGCAAUGAAUUCUUUCAGCAUAUGAAUUAAGAUUAAACAUAUUUGCUAGCAGCAGAGUGAUCUUUGCUGUAAAAGAUUUAAUCCUCUGAGGCCAGACCAGGGUGGUUUUGUCCCAUCUCUUCUCCACCUUUAGGACAUUAAGGUUUCCCUCUCUCUCUUUAUCUCAUCUUCUGUUCAGCUGCAAUGCCUAGGAGAAGAAAGAAAAAGGCCUACAAAGCAUUCCCUGGAGGCCUUGUAUCAGAGGAGGUGGAAUACUACAGGAAGAGAUGGAGUCUUACUCUGUCACCUAGGCUGGAGGGAAAUGGUGCAAUCUCCACUCACUACAACCUCUGCCUCCCUGAUUCAAGUCAUUCUUGUGCCUCAGCCUCUGGAGUAGCUGGGACUAUAGGAGCCACCAUGCCUGAUUAAUUUUUGUAUUUUUUGUAGAGACGGGAUUUUGCCAUGUUGGCCAGGCUGGUCUCGAACUCCUGACUUCAAGUAAACUUCCUGCCUUGGCCUCCCAAAGUGUUAGGGUUAUAGGCAUGAGCCACUGUGUUGGCAAUUCACUGAUAUUUCUAAUAUUCAUGUUAAGUGACAGAAGACCACCAGAAUUUUAUUUCUAGCCACUUUGCUCUAGGGUGGGUGGUGGUGGGUAACUGAAAUUUCCUCUGGCUUCAUCUUCUUUGGGGUGCAAGUGGGAUCUCUGCAAUUCAUAUGUGAGUUUCCAGUUUGUUUAUACAGGAUUUUACACUAAGUGCACCUCAAGUACUUUAAGAAAUCCCAAUAAGGUGAAUCAAAUGUACUGAGGAGUGAGCGCAAUCAUUUUAGGCAUUAUGGUACUACUCCAGGUACUCCUUUUAUCUGACCACUACAAUUAGUU